rnacentral:snRNA from 1 species
CUGACUUCAGCAGCACAUACACACUAAAACCAGAACAAUACAGAGAAGACUGGCAUGGGCCCUGUGUGAGGAUGACAGCAAAUUCGUUAAGUGUUCCAUUAAAAA